GAUGAAGAACGUAGCAAAAUGCGAUAAGUAAUGUGAAUUGCAGAAUUCAGUGAAUCAUCGAAUCUUUGAACGCACAUUGCGCCCGCCAGUAUUCUGGCGGGCAUGCCUGUUCGAGCGUCAUUUCAACCCUCAAGCACAGCUUGGUGUUGGGACUCGCGUUAAUUCGCGUUCCCCAAAUUGAUUGGCGGUCACGUCGAGCUUCCAUAGCGUAGUAGUAAAACCCUCGUUACUGGUAAUCGUCGCGGCCACGCCGUUAAACCCCAACUUCUGAAUGUUGACCUCGGAGCAGGUAGGAAUACCCGCUGAACUUAAGCAUAUCAAUAAGCGGAGGA
rnacentral:misc_RNA from 1 species